GACGAACGCUGGCGGCGUGCCUAACACGUGCAAGUCGAACGAAGAAGCGGAGAGAUGCGUCCUCCGGCUCUAAUUUCAGACCGGAUUAGAGGCAGACGGGUGCCUAACGCGUAAGCAAGCUAAAUCUUACAAAAGCAUAGCCACUGGCAACCGAUAUUAAUACCAUAUGACACAAUCAUUAGGAAUCUGAAGUACGUUCAAGCUACGGCGGAACGGCAUGGGCUUGGGUACCAUUAGCAAGUUGGUAAGGUCACGGCCUACCAAGGUGACGAGGCGUAGCCGACCUGAGAGGGUGAGCGGCCACACGGGAACUGAGACACGGUCCAGACUCCUACGGGAGGCCGCAGUAGGGAAUCUUCCGCAAUGGGAGAAAGCCUGACGUAGCAACGCCGCGUGAGUGAUGAAGGUCUUAGGCUCGUAAAACUCUGUUAUUAGGGAAGACCAAAUGUGUAAUUAACUAUGCACGUCUUGACGGUACCUAAUCAGAAAGCCACGGCUAACUACGUG
rnacentral:rRNA from 1 species